ensembl:lncRNA
GUAUGGUCCUGAGAACAUUAGCCUACCUACAGGUUGGCCACUUGGCCCAUCUAAGAAGACUCCUCCCUCAACAAGCUAUUCAGAAACCUCUGUUCAAGGACACGUUUGAAUGAAACCAUGUAACAUAUAGACAAACCCAGCAGGUGAAGGUGGAGCGCAAGCUUGGCUCUGAGUACCUGGGUGCUGCUGAGCACACAGCCUGCAGAAGCAGCGGAGGCAGUGCGACUGAGAGAGAGAGAGAGAGAGAGAGAGAGAGAACCAGCCCACCACCUGCAGCCUCGCACACACAGGCAUGAAGAAACACCUUCCUGGAUCACAGAAGUGCAGGACUCAGAGGCCUGUCGCGACCCCAGGAAAUGCAGGAGGAGCUGGGGGAGAGCUUGCUGGCAGGGCCCCCGGGUCCUUGCGCCGCGCUCCACUAAUGGGCCACGCAGCUGUGUGUGCGCGGGAGAGAGGAAGUGGAUUGAAUAACGCAGACGUCGCAAGGCCAGGUCUGUUGACAUUCUUUUUGGGGCUUUGUGGUCUGAAG